rnacentral:rRNA from 1 species
UGGGGAAUCUUGCACAAUGGGGGCAACCCUGAUGCAGCGACGCCGCGUGAGCGAUGAAGCCCUUCGGGGCGUAAAGCUCUUUCGGACGGGAAGAAGUGGCGGGCUCUAACAUAGCCUGUCGAUGACGGUACCGUAAGAAGAAGCACCGGCUAACUACGUGCCAGCAGCCGCGGUAAUACGUAGGGUGCGAGCGUUAAUCGGAAUUACUGGGCGUAAAGCGUGCGCAGGCGGUUUUGUAAGACAGAUGUGAAAUCCCCGGGCUUAACCUGGGAACUGCGUUUGUGACUGCAAGGCUGGAGUACGGCAGAGGGGGGUGGAAUUCCACGUGUAGCAGUGAAAUGCGUAGAGAUGUGGAGGAACACCGAUGGCGAAGGCAGCCCCCUGGGCCUGUACUGACGCUCAUGCACGAAAGCGUGGGGAGCAAACA